AACUCUUUCAAGCUUGUAGGGAAGUGAUAUCCAUUGGGUUGUCGGAUUAACGAGGGAUAUUCAUUGCACUUGUAUCUUGCUAUGAAUGAUUCGAGUUUAUUAAGUACAUCAAGCUUGGGAAACCAAUAGUCGUGUGUAGGAGGAUACUGCGAUUCCAUGAUGAUGCAAUCAAGGUGCUGAAGAAUUGGGAACUUCUCCAGAGCAUCAUCACUCAUGCCUUCAGAAUAUGAGAUAACAACUCCGGAUAGAGUUGUCAAGUUUGAAGAAUUCCCAGAUUCCAAUAUUCUACUUUGGAUAUCCUCUUUCUCUUCAAAGAAAGAACAUACGUUAAUUUUCACAUGUAACAGCUUUGACAGUGAGAAUAUUCUGCUUUGGAUAUCCUCUUUCUCUUCAAAGAAAGAACAUACGUUAAUUUUCACAUGUUUCAGCUUUGACAGUGAGAAUAUUCUGGGCAGUAAAACCAUGGGGGAAGAAUUUCUAUUGAUGAACAGAGUUUCCAGAUUCUGUAGGUUCAACCACGACACCGGGAUAGCUAUUACAUCAGCAGUCUGAAUGCUUAAGAACCUCAAAUGAAAUAAGGACCCUAUUUCUUCAAUUAAAGAAUCUUCCAGAAUGAUGUCAUCCAGUUGCAACACUCUAACAAGUCCAAAGUGUCUUGUGUGACAGAUAUACCUGAACUCAUCUAGUGGACCACUCACUUUCAAAGAUAUGACAUGCUUAUUAACAGCUAAGCACUUAUUAGAAUUGAAUAAAACACAUUUUUUGUGCAGUUGGCUGUUGUCAGUAUGAAUGGUUAGACGACGGUGUAGGAAAUUAGAAGCAUGAAAUGGAUCACCUGAAUUGAUUAACUUGAAAAACUUCUCCUUUUUUGCUUUCACUGAACAAAAAUCGUGCACAACAUCAUGAACAUAGCAAGCUCUGAUCAUUGCAGAAGUCCACCAAAGACUCUCGGAGGGGAUAUGAUCCACCAUUAUCAGGCUACUAGAAAUUAAAGCAUUCAAGUAACUUUGAGUUGUUUCCACUGAACUAUCAUGAUCCACAAGCCCUUCGGCCAUCCACAACUGCAUCAAUGUAGAGACUGGAGUCCGUUUGCUCUUUUGAGACCUUGCAAAGUAAAGCAGCAACGGCUUCAGGUGGUAUGGUAAAUGGUCAUAACUUAAUUGCAUAACCUUCAUCAUCUGCAAAUUGUUGUUUGAAGAAAUAAAGGAAUCCAGAUUAUGUUCAAUCUGAAGCCACAAAUCCUUUUUCUUUUUCUUUCCUCUAACAAUUACUCCAGCAAUCAAAACAAUAGACAAGGGAAGUCCUUUACAUUUCUCAACUAUUUGGUGUCCAAUGUCUGACAGUUCAGCAGGGCAGCUUCCUUCAUCCUCAAAUACCUUUUUUACGAAUAAAUCCCAACUUUUUUCAGGUGUUAAAAGUUGAAGGUGGAGAGUAUCACUAUGGCAUUUAACUUUCAAACCUACCUCACUACUUCGGCUAGUUAAAAUAACUCUAUUUCCUCUCUCAACCUUUUUUGGAAAACAUGCUAUUAACAUCUCCCCUGUUGCAAUAUCCCACACAUCAUCCAAGACGAUGAGGUACCUUUUAUCGAGUAGUGCUACUCGUAGCUUUCCAGCAAGGUCAUCCUCACUUUCUUUUGUCUCCGAGGCAGUAACUUGCUGAAGAAUCUCCCGCAACACCUUUGACUUGUUAAAGUUUUGGGAAACAGUGCACUUAGCACGAAUCUUGAAAUGACUAGCAACUAAUGUAUUGUUAUACACUUUAUUGGCAAGAGUAGUUUUACCGACUCCUGGCAUUCCAACAAUGGAAAUGACAUCAAGCUCGGAUUCAUGUUCAUCAAGGAGCUGGCCAAUGAUCCGGGCUUCAUCUUCCUCAUGACCUACUGUUACCUCAACAAAUGAUGAUGAGGUUAACUUAAUUGGCUCAUUGGAAGACUUUGCAUCAAGGGGGCCAUCCCCAUUCUUAUCCUCCAGCUGUAAACCGGUGACUUGUGCCACAAUAAGCUUGAUCUUAUCAGUGACAUUCGGAAGUGAGAAGAUUAAAUGCGAGAGAGCUUUAUCUCUGACAAGAAUGGAAUUAAUGACAUGUUCUGCCUCAUAUGCCACAUCCAAAGCACGCAUCCAACAAUCUUUAACAACUCCACUAGUGCUCUCAUCCAAUGUUUGCCUGAAAGAUGCUGUUAGGAAUUCAAGGCUUUGUUUCACCAUCUCAAUUUCUUUUUUUAUCAGAGAAACUGAAUAAGAAUUGGAAGUGAGUAAAUCAUUUAAAUGUCUGAGUAGAAGAUUCAUGAAGAGGAAACCAUCAUCCAUAGGAAAGCAAAGUUGGGAUGACUCUGGCGCUUUCAAAAUAAUCUGUUUGAUAUCUCCCUUCAUUCGUUCGAUUUCUUGCAACAAGUAUGGAGCUGAAAAGUCUGCUUCAUUCAUAUUAGAGCUCUCCUCCAUGAGAAUAGACAUCUUCCUUGUAAGUAGUCCGACAUGUGCCAACAUAGAGUUCAAUUUGCCACGAUGGAUAAAGCGCUUUGGUAUAUCAGUGAGAAAGAUCAAUAGGAACUCCAUCAUGACAUUAAUGCUUUGAGUUGCAGAGUAACUGACGGCUACCAUGCGUCCUUGGAGAUGAAUGAGAUAAUUCUGAAGAAUCCUUGGAGAUGCUUUUAGGAUUUGCUUAACCAAUCCUUCUAGUUCUUUUGACCUUGAUUCUUUGAUGAGGUUAGAAGUAGAAAUGUAUAGAACCUCCAGCUCGAGAGGGAUUAUGUCGAUGAGUAGAGAAGUGAUCUUGGAAGAGCAUUCAAAGACUAAAUACUCAUAACCAUCAUCAGUAUAUUCUUUAUACUCUCCAGUCCAAAGAUCAAAACAGAAUUGUGUUACUCUAUCAACUGUCAUUUGGUACCGAGCAUAGAGAAAUUCUGUUGUUGUAAUUUUGUUGCAUUCCAAUUCAUAGAAAUCUCUGAGAUGUGUACAUACUUGCCGCAGAAUCUUGUAUUCACUCAUGAGGGGUAGAAGCAAAUCAGAACAAUACUUUGGUAGAUCAUGGAGGUUUCUGAUGAGGUAUUCAAACAAUUUUAUCUCUGUAGUUGUGGCUACAUAAUCAUUCUUCAAACUCAAAUAAUUUCUUAUCUCUUCAAGCAGCAGAGGGGCAAGACAUUCCAUGUUGUAUCUCUCUAGGAUUAUUUUAUCUACGUACUCCAUAGAUUGAUCGAAUUUGCUUAUAUUCAUUGACAUCCUCUCAUAAAAGUCAUCCAAAUUCAUCGAAUUUCCAAACAGGACAAAUGUUCUUAGGAAUCUCAGUUCCAUUCUUAGAUUUUCAAAGGCAUCCAAUUUUGAAGCAAUGAAUUCAUUCUUUAUUUGCUUCAAGCGAUUCAAGAAAUCAUCAAUAAGAUUCGUGAUUCUUGUUUUUUGUUCCUCAAAUAAUAGCUGCUAAAUCAAAAACAUAUUCAUCAGCAAAAUUCAGUUGAAAAUUUUGGCUCUUAACACUUGAAACUACAGUAUUGGUAGACAAUAGACAUACCAAUGAUUUUUCUCCUUUUUCCAUCCAACCAGCCUUCAAUAUCUAAAAGAUUUGAUUUUUCAAACUAAUCACAUGCACAUUUAAUAAGGAUAAAAGAAUUAGAAACACAAGUAAAAGUAACAGCAAGAAGAAAGAGUUCAAAGAAUGUCAGCUGUUAUAAAUUCUAAAUUUGGCUUAAAUAUGUUAUCGAACUUUGUAGAAAAAGAAAAGAUUCAUUUAUGUCAUCAGUUAAAACUUUGGUUCAUCUAUGUCAUUAUCAUUUGAGAAAAAACACAUUCAUGCUAUUAUUUUUUACCCAAUAAGAUCCCAAACAACUUUUAAUACUUUUCAAUUGGAAUUUUAGAUCAAAUGGAUUCUUUUUGUUUCUUCUACCUUAAAAAACACAUGUAAAACUCUCAAAUUUCCAACUUCUUCCAUUCUUCACGAAUUCACCUCAAAUUUCCGCCACUAAUUAAUUUUUCUUUUAAUAAGCAAAAAUUCUAAAAUAUAUAAUCUGUAAAUCAAUCACAUUUAAGAAAGAGUAUAUUUACUAAAAACAAGAGUGAAUACUACAAAUUAUGACAAUCAUCUAACAUUUUAUAAUUAUCUAAGUCAAAAAUACAAAUUCGUUUUCUAGUUCUUGUAAUGUAUGUUUCAUUCAAAUCAAGUGAAUCACAAAAAUACAUGUAAAAUGAAAACUAGAAAAACAUUAUAUUAUACCUUUUUCUUUACUCUCAAAUGGUAGUUUGCCUUGUUGCAGAUUUACAAGAAGCAAACGUUGAAGUUAGAUCUGCAAAUGUUGAACUGUCAAUUAGUUUAUCAAAGUCUAGAGAUCUGAAAUAGAUUAGUUUAAGUUUACUACUCACUCCUUCUAUUUUUAAUUGUUAGGUUGCGUUUUUCGAAAGUUAAUUUGAUUAAUUUUCAAAGUUAAAUUCAAUUAUAUUAAUUCGAUAUUUUAAGUAUUCUGACAUGUGCCAACAUAUCGUUCAAUUUUUCACGAUGGAUCAAUAGGAACUCCAUCAUGACAGUAAUGCUUUGAGUUGGAGCGUAUUUGACAGCUACCAUGCUUCGUUGGAGAUGAAUGAAAUAAUUUUGAAGAAUCCUUGGAGAUGCUUUUAGGAUUUGCUUCACAAACCUCUCUAGUUCCGUUGACCUUGAUUCUUUCAUGAGUUUCAAAGUAGAAAUGUAUAGAACCUCCAGUUCAAGAGGAAUUAUGUCAAUGAGUAGAGAAGUGAUCUUGGAAGAGCAUUGUGAGACGUUAUAGUAAUCAUAAUUUUGCUAGAGUUCAAUAAGUUUUGGAGUUCUUCUAAUUAUUUGUCUUAGUGCAAUAAAACUGUAACUCCGUAGGUAUUGUAUUUCUCAUUUCAACCUUUAAGUUUAGCACUAUGUUGUUGAACUAAGCUUUUUCCUACACGAUUAAACUGACCUUUGAGUUAUUACUGCGAUAACAACCAGUUGUAAUUAAGGUUCAACAUGAGCUUGAGCUUGGUGUUUUAAGGUUGUAGGCAGGUAGAUCUUUUCCCAUAUGUGAACAAAUGAUGUACUUUUAUUUGAUGCACUGGUACUGAUCAGAGAAUGUAGAAUUCCUACUCGUUCAUGUGGUAUCGAUUUUACUGUUCUUGGAAUUUCAAAGCUGUUUCCAUAGAGGUAUACUGAACUUGUCCUGUACGAUAUUUCUCAAACGACGUCCCUUGGUUAUAAUCUCUUUCUCCGUAAUUGUAUUAACCAUUGGAGUUACUUGUACCUACAGAGCAGAAAGCAAAUCAAAACCGAUACUUUGAUGUUAUUCAUUUUGGUUUCUGUGCGACUUGGUUUACAAUUCGAGGGAAAUGAUUAAUGUAUAGCUAAAUAAAUUGAUAUUCAUCAUUGGUAAAUUGAUCUUGAAAGUACCGUCUCAGCAUGAAUGAUUAUUUCUCUUGUUCGAAAAAUCAUGUACUUUGUUGUACAUAUGCAGGUGAAUCAACUAACGACGACCAUACAUUGAUUUAACACUACCUGUUAUUUUACCAAAGUCUAAAUCCGUUCCCGACUUAUCUCCAAGCAACAUGAAGCCUCCAAAUUUCAAUCUUGAAUCAGAAGACGAGUCCGAGGUCAGCAACUGCCAAGUGGGUUCAAACAUAUCCGUCCAAGAAAUUCGCCCUGGUCCUUCCCUUAAUCUUCAGCAGGAAUCAGUUCCUGUUACCCUUGACUUGACUCUUGGCUUCAGCAGCAGUGACUCCGAGUUGAAAGCCAAUGCUGAGGCGAGUGACGAAGAAGUACCCCAUCCUCCAACGGCAGCACUAUCCUGAGUUUUCUCGUGCAAUUUCUGCAGGCGCAAGUUUUACAGCUCCCAGGCAUUGGGCGGACACCAGAACGCACAUAAGAGGGAGAGGACUUUAGCUAAGAGAGCAAUGCGGAUGGGAAUGUUAUCGGACAGGUACGCUAGCUUAGCAUCAUUGCCCCUUCACGGGGCUGCAUUUCGAUCUCUUGGCGUUGAAGCUCAUGGUUCCACACACCAACGCAUCUCGCACCAAGAAACACCUAUUCAUGCAGUUAGAAGCGGGGCUAGAUUUGAACAAGGCUAUUUCGGGAUGCCAGUAUUCGUGGAGGAUGAUGAAGUGGAAGUGUUCUGGCCCGGUAGCUUCAGGCAAAUAGACGGAAUUGGUGGCAAUAUGGGGUAUAAUUCAGGGCAAAGUUCAAGCAUAAAUUUUGUAGCUGUAGCUCCUCAAACUAGGACAGAUCCAACAUUGCCUGAUCUUAAUUUGAAACUCUGAUUUUUUGGUAUUCUAUUCUACUUUUUGUAUCAGAAUUUUCACAAUUGUUGUAUUACAUAUUUACAUUAGUGCUCUAUUUGUACAGGAGAUGAAUAUUUGAGACUGUCUUGAGCUUUCAAUUUUGAAUCUUUUUCAUUCCCAAAUUUGUUUAGUUGACCAUCUUAUUGUACAAUUAUAGUAUGAUACUUUGUUACAUAUAAGUACAGAUUUGGGACAGUGCUGAUAUUUUUUAGUUUAUUUAAACCUUUAACCCUGUUUAUCAUUAUUCGUUAGAUUCUUUUCAGGAAGUCUCACAUUGGGAGUAAGACAUACAUAGGCGAUUUUAUAUCUGGUAAGGCUCGAACGCGAGACCUCUGAUUAAGGAUCAGAGAGUGCUGCCUCUCCACCACAGUGCUUGUUGGCACAGUAGUAAUCAUAUUAACUGUCCAUAUCAAUAGUGAUAGUUAGUUGCCUUUUGGCAUUGAAACCUUCCAAUUAAAAAAAACAAAACUAGUAUCUUAUAUGAGAGAUUACAGACGAAAUAAGAUUCAUAACUAACAAAAAAACAGGAAAGAAAACACACGACAAAUUAGAUCAAAAUAUGUCCAGAACCAGCAAUGAGAAAAACCAGUAACAAGUUUGUUUAUUGGAAGCAGUAAUCAGAUGGAGGCGUUGCGUUGUUUCGUUCUUCAUUGUUGUGAUUUGUCCAACUUCAUCAAUCACUGCGAUUCAUAACCACGAGAAUCAGUGCAAUCACUCCACCAACUAUGUAUAAGUAUUAUAUUUCAACAUGCUAGCACAAAUCAAACAUUCAGGAUCUAAGUAUUCUCCACCUGCAAUACAAAACAAAUCCAUUGAAUUUUCUCAUAAUGUUACAACUAGUCAAAUCAGUGGAUGAUUUGUUUAUUGCCUCUAAACAAAUGUCAAUAAAAGUUUGUUUUUGUGGUAGUGUGUGCAGGAAGAAGAAUGAACUCUACUACUAACAACUUCAACGAACACACUACACAAAUGCAAAUUAUAUAAAUUAAACGAACUUAGUUACCUCAUCUUCAUCCUCUGUUUUUUCUCGUUGGUUGCCAAUCAAAUAUGAUGUGUGGACAUCAAGUCUGUCCUCUCCUGUGAAAUCUGCUACAUUUUUCUUAAUCUCAAUGGCUGAAUCUCCAAGCUCACGCCUAACGCCUCUUAAAUCAAUGGACUUUAAAGUGUCUAUAUCUAUAAAUGCACAAGGGAUCUCCCAAAGUGUGAUACAAAGUUUUAGUAUAAAUUUCUCAAGCUUGGGAAAAGUUUCCCUCUCAACUUGCCAUUCUGAUAAUUGGACAUCUCGCAAAAUCAAAGUCUUAAGACUUAGAUAGAUGUCCUCACUUGCGUCCCAUUUCUUAUCCACGAAUUUACAGCUGGAAAACUCCAUAAUCUCAAGCUCAGGCAACGCUGCGAUUACUGACAACAAAUCAGGUCUCAGGAGAAAACCAGUCAACCGUAACUCUUUCAAGCUUGUAGGGAAGUGAUAUCCAUUGGGUUGUCGGAUUAACGAGGGAUAUCCAUUGCACUCGUAUCUUGCUUUGAGUGAUUCGAGUUUAUUAAGUACAUCAAGCUUGGGAAACCAAUAGUCGUGUGUAGGAGGAUACUGCGAUUCCAUGAUGAUGCAAUCAAGGUGCUGAAGAAUUGGGAACUUCUCCAGAGCAUCAUCACUCAUGCCUUCAGAAUAUGAGAUAACAACUCCCGAUAGAGUUGUCAAGUUUGAAGAAUUCCCAGCUUCCAAUAUUCUACUUUGGACAUCCUCUUUCUUUUCAAAGAAAGAACUCAUGUCAAUUUUCACAUGUUUCAGCUUUGACAGUUGCAAUAUUC
rnacentral:lncRNA from 1 species